GCCAAGGUGGUGUAGUGGUUUGAGCAUUGGACAAUGGCCUUGGCAGGCCAGGGUUCGAAUCCCGUCUUGGCC